rnacentral:lncRNA from 1 species
CUCGCUCGCCUUGCAGGCAUCCUGAGUCUCGGCCCUUUUCGCCAAAUCGCUGCUCUGCCGCGCGCCUACGCAAGGAAAGAUUCAAGGGCCCGUCUGCUUCAGGGAGUGGAACCCGCGCCUCGGCACGGAUCAGCUGUGCGUCUCCCUUGGCCUACUGGCUCUUCUCCUUGUGUCUAUAGCUAGCUGGACGCAUCGUGACUUUAUCUUCUCAUCUUUCCUGGCGCCCCCAGACGCAUUUCCUAGUCCCCCGAGGCAGCGGCGUCUGGGGAGUGCACUUUGCACAGACAGGGAAACCGAGGCACUCAGCGGUCUCCAGUGGAGACGCUGUAAUCGCAUUCCACGACCAGCUAGCGCUAUAAGCGCUGCCUCUAACGCGGAAGUCCUCCCAGUCUUCCUCGACAGGAAGCAAUAUUUGCAUAUUUAAGGAGAACAAGAUUCGGCAAUGUGCUCCGGAAGCAAGUGCAGGCAUGGAACGGUCUGGGCUGGAGGAGGACAGACGUUCAGAGGCGGCUGCCCCCGUUCCCCGUAGUGUCAUAUAAGAUUUUUAGAAGAUAGGAGUUUUCACAGUGGCGGCAGAGCCCUCUGCUAAAUCCUCAUAUUGGAUGUCAAAGGUGGCAUGUCAUUUGACCCAAUGGUUUUUUUAGUCAUUUAUCUUCCUAAUACCUAUGAGAG